CAUGGCUUUCUGUUUCUACAGAAAUGGAACUAGAAGAGCUGGGUAUACAGUAUAGUUGCAUUAGGUAGAUUUAUGAGUUACCAUCAGUGCCCUCUGACUGAACUGUACACCUUACUAACUACUUUAGAAGUUGGUUCUCAGCAGUAGUUUGAUCUUCAUAACACUUUGCUAAAUGUGAUCCGGAGUGGGAAAGACUCAACACUGUCUCCGGCAUCAUCACUCAGAAGUGCUUAUAUACCGUUCUUCAAAGAGGCCCUCAAGCACACAGUGAUGGGGACAGCAGUUUCUGUCUGUGGUGGGUCUGCCUGGUGUCUUCCUUAUUAUAACAACUAUCUGUCUAUCUAUCAUAUGAAAUAACAAGUAUUAAUUUCCCUUGUGAGCAGCACAGAGGCAGCCCAGCAUCAGGUGCAGCACAUAUGUGAAACUGAACUCGAAGAGCUGUAGAAACUGGGUGGGUGUUCCAGUUUCCAGUUUUCACAUUUUUUUUAGGCCUACUCAUGGAAUGGGCGGCUGGAGGUUGUGAGGAAAUGAUUGCUGAAUCAAUCAUAACAAUAAAUGUUAUGGGCUUGCAAUCGAGUACAAUCGCUGACUGCGCCUUUAAUAUGUUUUCUACCAUGAUGCCGGUGGUUGAAAUUGGGCUUGGUAACUAGUUUAGGAGUUGGUUCUCAGCACCAUUGGGCUUGGUAACUAGUUUAGGAGUUGGCUCUAAGCACCAUUUGCACUUUGGUCUGUCAAUAAAUGUUAUGUAAGCGAUAAUGUAUUGUCCGCCGGUAAUUAUCGGAAAAUAAGUCCCCACAGGGAGAACAGAACCCCAACAGGCAGUGGAAGAAGAUGCUGUGUGAAAUUGUACCAAGUGUUAUAUUUGUUUUCACCAUGUCUUUGCCUUUUGAUUUUGAAUUAAAGAAGUCUUGAGUGUCUGCAUCCACAAGUUCAUGUUCCUGGUUUCCUUGUGUGACAGGAAUGGGUUAAUGGAGAAUAUGCAUACCUCAAUAUAAGGUUUACCUAAUAAUAUUAAUAUUAAUAACAAUAUGAAUGCCAUGUUUGCAU